rnacentral:rRNA from 1 species
GACGGAUGAGUGAACUUACGACUCUACCUACCUUUGCGGGAUAGCUCGGGGAAGCUCACUUUAGCACCGCCCACGAACUACCGUAGAAAGGCACUUGAUGCUCUCGCCUUGCGCGGAGCCUUGAUCCGAUUACCUAUUUGGUGGGUGAAAGGCCUACCAUGGCCACAAGCUGCAACUGGUCGAGAGCAGGAUCGAUCACCCCGCGACUGAGACCUGACCCGGACUCCUAACUCCUACAGCAGGGGGCAAUGUUGAACAAUGGACAAUGCCCUGAUCCCUGAUUGCCGCGUGUGUGAAGAAUGACUUUUGCCUUCAAAGUGCUUUACCCUUUUGAUAAGACUCAUCAGUUAACACUUAAUACGAUGAGUUCAGAUGCAGAAUAAGCACCGGCUAACUCUGUGCUUCGCAGCCCGCGGUAAUACAUAAUAGUGCAAG